UACGUAGGUGGCAAGCGUUAUCCGGAAUUAUUGGGCGUAAAGCGCGCACAGGUGGUUUCUUAAGUCUGAUGUGAAAGCCCACGGCUCAACCGUGGAGGGUCAUUGGAAACUGGGAGACUUGAGUGCAGAAGAGGAAAGUGGAAUUCCAUGUGUAGCGGUGAAAUGCGUAGAGAUAUGGAGGAACACCAGUGGCGAAGGCGACUUUCUGGUCUGUAACUGACACUGAGGCGCGAAAGCGUGGGGAGCAAACAGG
rnacentral:rRNA from 1 species